rnacentral:sRNA from 1 species
GUAAGAACCUUCGACUAAGGUUCGACUCGAGCGAAGCGAGAGAACGUUGCCGCAGGCAACGGCCCGAAGGGCGAGGCGCUUUAGCGCCGAGUAAUCCUUCCCCCACCACCA